UGUAGUAUUUUGACUAUACAAAGGUAUUGUAAUAAGACUUUAAUUGAGUGCUAAAAGAAUGGAGUUUCAAAAAAAGUCUAUCUUGAAUUCAAAAAUUGAAUUUAUUUUUAUUUGUGAAGAAACAAUAAUUAAAAUUAAGGACAAGAAGACCCUAAGAAUUUUUAAUUUUGUAUAUAUAUAUAUUUAUAUAUACAAAAUUUUAAUUGGGGCGAUUAAAAAAUAUAAUUAACUUUUAAUUUAAAAAAAUGAUCCAUUAUUAAUGAUUUAAUGUAAAAAAUACUCUAGGGAUAACAGCGUAAUAAUUUUAGAUAGAUCUUAUAGAAAAAAUAGUUUGCGACCUCGAUGUU
rnacentral:rRNA from 1 species